rnacentral:rRNA from 1 species
GGACGAACGCUGGCGGCGUGCUUACCACAUGCAAGUCGAACGGAAAGGCCCUGCUUUUGUGGGGUGCUCGAGUGGCGAACGGGUGAGUAACACGUGAGUAACCUGCCCUUGACUUUGGGAUAACUUCAGGAAACUGGGGCUAAUACCGGAUAGGAGCUCCUGCUGCAUGGUGGGGGUUGGAAAGUUUCGGCGGUUGGGGGUGGACUCGCGGCUUAUCAGCUUGUUGGUGGGGUAGUGGCUUACCAAGGCUUUGACGGGUAGCCGGCCUGAGAGGGUGACCGGCCACAUUGGGACUGAGAUACGGCCCAGACUCCUACGGGAGGCAGCAGUGGGGAAUAUUGCACAAUGGGCGGAAGCCUGAUGCAGCAACGCCGCGUGCGGGAUGACGGCCUUCGGGUUGUAAACCGCUUUCGCCUGUGACGAAGCGUGAGUGACGGUAAUGGGUAAAGAAGCACCGGCUAACUACGUG